AUUGAACGCUGGCGGCAGGCUUAACACAUGCAAGUCGAGCGGAGAUGAGGUGCUUGCACCUUAUCUUAGCGGCGGACGGGUGAGUAAUGCUUAGGAAUCUGCCCAUUAGUGGGGGACAACAUUCCGAAAGGAAUGCUAAUACCGCAUACGUCCUACGGGAGAAAGCAGGGGAUCUUCGGACCUUGCGCUAAUAGAUGAGCCUAAGUCGGAUUAGCUAGUUGGUGGGGUAAAGGCCUACCAAGGCGACGAUCUGUAGCGGGUCUGAGAGGAUGAUCCGCCACACUGGGACUGAGACACGGCCCAGACUCCUACGGGAGGCAGCAGUGGGGAAUAUUGGACAAUGGGGGAAACCCUGAUCCAGCCAUGCCGCGUGUGUGAAGAAGGCCUUAUGGUUGUAAAGCACUUUAAGCGAGGAGGAGGCUACUGAGACUAAUACUCUUGGAUAGUGGACGUUACUCGCAGAAUAAGCACCGGCUAACUCUGUGCCAGCCGCCGCUGUAA
rnacentral:rRNA from 1 species